rnacentral:lncRNA from 1 species
GUGUGUGGUUUCUACAUAUCCCUGCCAUCUAAUGACUUGUGCCUCUCAUGCAACUCUGAGAAAGUGGAUGGCAUGCACUCCGUGGGAAGAUGUGAGUUAUGUCUGGAACCCAAACAUCGCCCUCAUUUGAGUUCUGUGUUUUGUGGUACAGGGGUCAACCAUUAUUCAGUAUGUGCUCUAGACUAACCCUGACAUCCACUGACUACCUCCUGAGUUUCUGUAUAAACCAGUUACAUUUUUUAGUUUAAAGGUCAUUUUUGGUGACUUAGAAAGAAUUUUAAAUGUAUCGUUUCCUCAGCUAGUGCUGUAUCAUCUCACAGUACAGAUCUGUGUUAAUUUGUGACAGGUUUCACGUGUGGGUUUGUAGAAGUGUAAUAGAGAGUGGCUUUGCACAUACGGUGUGAGUCUUGCUGCUGUGUGCUUAAUGUGGCGACACUUGCCAAAGCUGCUUGGCAAACACGUCAAAAGGGAUGCUUGAGUCACAACUCAAAUGCAAAUGUGUCGCAACAGGAGUGUGUGUCACUAUGAUGUAUUUUUGUAAACACAGUGAUGGCCUCUUUCAGUCAUAUAAGUACUGGAUAAAAAUAACCACUGGAGGGAAAUGUCACUUAACUGAUGGCAAAGCUACUCAUACUGUCAGCCAGGGGCGUGUGUGUGUGUGUGCGCGUGCGUGCGUGCGUGCGUGCGUGCGUCAUGGAGAGGGAAGAAUUGACAUCAGCAAUAUGGAGGGCAAAAGUAAUACCCCAUCAAGUUAGAGGCCACUUGCACUCCCCAUAGUAUAUGGAUUUUAGGAAAUAUUGAGAGAACUGGAAUUCUCACACUAAAUUACUGGCCUUGUCAGUUUGACUACUGAAGGCAGUGGAUUACCAAAAAUUUUGCUUCUAAGCCUCCAUAGCUGUCAGUAAGGGCUAUGUCUUGUUGAAUCACCCCUUUCACCUGUUCCCCAAAUUGCAAUGAAAGUGAUAUGCUAGUGAGACGGACUCACAAACCUGGGUCACUCUGAACAUGGCAGCAGUACAGGCAGGCAGAUGCGCCUCAGCGUGCUGUAGGAGAUCACUCCCAUAGCAAUAGUAACUACACCACCUAAGUGUGACUCCUGACUCCUGCUAGUUGCUUCCUCUCCUCUGCUUGGACCUCACAGCUGCCCUAAGAGCUGUUCCUGACAGGGCGCUCACCUGAGCCUUCUCAGCUCAGUAAGCAGAAUGGCCUCUUCUAUCUGUGCCCGUCAGGCAUAGUUCUCAAAGUCUGCCAACACUUUGGAGUGAACGUUAUUUGAUUUUCUGAUGCUAUCAAGGGAAGGUUGGCGUUCUAUCACUAAAUAUGCAGGUGCUUAAAUAACAAGCUUGUGAAGCCUCCAGGCCUCUCGGGCCGGCAUGAGGCGUGCCCUGAGUGGCAUCCUGUGAGGGAGACCAGAAACCCUUAAAGGAAGUGGGCACAUCAGGAGUCUAGUCCCUCCCACCUUUCUAGAUCCCCUGUACAAAGAUGCAGGAACAAAGGAAGACUUUGGAUCUCGAGAUUAGAUCAUUCACGUGACACCUGGUGAUAGCUCUGGCUAUUGGCCAGUGUUCCCCCUCUGUGUGGCUGAUUUUGCAGCCUCUGGUGACACUUCCAGUUCCGUGGGACGUGAGGUUUUAGUUGACGAUGUCACUGUGAGAACGGUAGAGGAGACUGUAAAGACUAUAGUGACCUGUUGGGUUUGCCCCUGUAGUCGAAAAUUUAACAUCCUUCAAACGCAUGCCAAGGUCACGAUGAGCCUGGCUUGUGCCUCGGGAGCAAGGCCUGCCGGAAGCAGGCGGAGACUCAGUCACUGACCAGCCUGCCCCUGCCCUGGCUAAGCCUUGCUUGCCCUCAUGUUGCUCCUGUGCAGAACGGCAUGUAGCAGCUAACACUGGGGCCAGUUGCCUUUACUCUAUUUUCUAUGAUGAAUACUUGUGGAGAAACUGUGACAAAUCCAUUGAUCCUGAUAUUUUUAUUGUUGGAGUCUUGUGGCUUCUCUGAAUAAUUUCUAUUUGAUUGUACUGUGUAGAGUUCAUACACACUAGGGAUAUGUUAAAGAAGCUAAAAUGCAUAGUAUAAUAUAGAAUAGCAAAAAAAUUUUUGUGAACAAUUUAUAUAGAAGAGUGAGUUGUUUUUUAAGUGUUAGGCCAUUUCUUUUAGGAACCUAAAACGUUUUAAGAGUUUUUUAAACAUUCAAUAUUUUUAAUUAUGAGAGACAUUUGUUACUAGAGCUGAUUAUUUCGGGUGUUCUAAUUGGAAUAUUGAUUUUCUUACCUCAUAUACCUCUAGAAUGCCACAUGUUCUGUUGGGGGUAAAAUUGCACAAUAAAUGUCAAGUUAUCUGUUAAA